UGUAAAGAUUUACAGGCUGAAACAGUUGAGUACACAGAAAAAAUAUGCUGGGAGUUAGUUUUCAGUCAAAAACUUGAUUUAUGAGCAUCAACAAAACAUGGACUACAUGCAAUAUUACUUUUCUAAGUAUAGAGACAGUAUUUUGAAGCUAUCUCGUACAUAUAAUGUUUUUGUUGCUAAAAUUGGAAGAGGAUUCUGCUAUCCAUACUUGUUUAAGGGAUGGAAUUAAGUUUAGGUAACUGAAAUUCUGAGUGAUUGUGAGGUCUUAAGUAUUUUGCCCAGUUUGUUCUCUUUGUUCUCCCUUUGAAAUUGAAUGCGUUUACUUGAACACCUUCUUGGAGAUGCUCUCUUCCAGAUUCAACAGCUGGUGGUUUUUUACAAGUUAUAGCUGCAGGCUGUCAAACAUUGGUUUGAACCAGCAGUGAGCUUCUUCUAGCUUGUGAUCAGGGGAAGAUAGCAGCAGUUAGAAUUGCAGGGAGAACAGUUAAAUGCAAGCUCUGUUUUAAUUCUUGAGCUGUGGGAGAAAGGGUGAAAUGGCAAGCACUUAUUCAAAUCUUUCUCCUGUGCUAAUGGAUAGGUGUUCACCAUGAUGCUGUCUUGAAGAUUCCCCUUUUCUAGAAGCGUAAUAAACACAAGUUUCUUCAGCACAGUGUAAAAUAGAGACAUUGGGAAGAGAGGAAGGAAUAGAAGCUGAGAUUAUCUUUGCCAGAAUAGCAAAAAGCUCUGUAGAAGCAGUCUCCUGCUAUUAAAUUUUUUUUCCCAAUCACAGAACAGUACUUAAACUGAUAAGCAGCAUGUAAAAUGUCAAGCAAAGUAUUUCUAUUACAUUUUUUUUUUAAAUUAUACUUUGUGUUGGUUAAUACCUUGUAAAAAUCUGUAAGUCUUUUCACCCCCAAGUACUAUGGUAAUCCAUGCACACUAUAAUAAUUGGGGUACUGCUGUGAAGUAGUGCUAGGAUGAGGUAAUGCAUUGAUAAAUGAUUUCUCAGAGUAUGGAGUUGAAUGUGAUUUGGAAUUAUGCAUACAGUUGGCCGCAGCACUCUUAUUUGAUUGACAGCCUCCUGAGCCUGAUUUAAAACAAAAAAACAAACAGCUUUUAAGAGCUUUCUCCCCAGCUUGCUUAAGUUCUCUUAAUCACAUGAAAGAUGAAACUUCAAUCUUAAAAGUAAAAACACUAAUUGGAGUUGAAAAGAUCAAGAAUAUGCAUCACGCCCCCUGAGAGGCCUCUAUUUGUGAUUCAAAGGGUUACUUGGUGCAUAGACAGAAAUACCAUCUUGCAACUUCUAAUGACUUGUAGUUCUAUCACCAACUACUCCCACCUGUUCUGACUCCAUAACAGACUUUUUCAGUUUACUUUCUGCUGCUGCUUUACAUUUCUUCAGAUUUUCAACCAUUUUUUCUAGUAUCUAGGUAGAAAAAAUAGUAUCUUCUAGGAAUUCUUUUCAUGCUACAAAUAAAAAUCUGCAAUAUAAUAUAUCUCCAAUUCUUACUGUAAAGAAUUCGGUAAGUUUGAGUUUUAUCAUUUAAAGAAUAAAUCUCUGUAUCUGACUUUAAUGUUGUUGCUUGGUCUUCCUGGAGCAGAUACUUUAAGAUUUACAGAAGCUUUUUAAAGUGAGAGUCAUAAAGUCUUUUUACCACUGCUUCUGCAUUGCCUUUUCAUAAAAUGCUUCCACAGGAGUCUAGCCAUCUAUUCACACCAUUAGUGCUUCACCUGAUGUCUGUCUUCCCUCUGUUGCUCUCCCCUUAUCCCCACUUCUAGCUGGGGCUCCAGCUGCCUGUUCUGCACUUGCACCUUAGCUUGGUUUUCUGAUAAAUUUUGCAUCUCACUGUGCAAACUAUUCAACUUUGACACAAUUUUUUGGAUGUGCUGUAGACUACACAACAUAACACAGAAGACAGCACAAGAAUUCCAGUAACUUCUUGUCAGGGAACUGGUCAAGAAAGCUCACGUGUUCAUAAUUAUUCUCCAGAUACUACUCUUUUAUUGCUUCUGCUUCCCUCAGUUAAGAUUCUCUCUCUUGGAAAUUGUUGAAAGAGGGGAAAAAACAAACCAAAAAACUUCCUGAAUUUUUCAGGCUUGCUGUUACAUUGGGAAUAUUUCUACAAAUAUCUGCAAAUUUCUUAUUUCUUGUCCUGUGGAAGACUGAAGUCAAGAUAACAUGUGCUUCAUUGGAGAAAGGGAAAACAAGCAGGUGACAGAGUUACAGAGGAACCUAGGUUCCCAUUUGGAAUUGGGUAUAAGUCAAAACGUAAGUUUUACUCAAGUAUUAAGAAUGAGAGGAGGCUAAUCACCAUAGAGAUCAGCCUUUGGCACAGUUGAUCAUUAAAUCAACUAUCUGCAAAAUCAGCAAGUAGGUAAAUGCUACUAUAAAAACUAUGGUGUGGAGGGUGAAACAGGACUCUCUAGCAUUGUAUUUUAUAUAGGAGGGAGGAAGAGAGAGUAGGACAGGAAAGGCCUUGCAGUUAAAGUGGCUGCUAUUGAUCUGGUCAGAUUUCAGUGUGGAGUUAGCCUUUUUGUUCAGUCCUACUGCAAAGGGUCCACUGAUGCUCAGUUUCUUUGCCUUUUGGGUCAGACCGAGUCUGGAUCAGCUUGCUUUGCAGGAUAUUGUUGACUUGCAUGCUUCUUCCAAACAAAGAGCAAAUGUAUUUUUGUCUGUCCUGGCAACUUCUAGUGUCUUAGAAAGCAGUUCCAAUUGUGCAGGAACAACAGAUCAGAUUUAUAUUUACCCAAAUGAAAAAACAUUUUCAGGAGUAUUUUGUCCACUCCCAACCAGUGUCAGCUUACAGGCAGUGACUCUGUUUACCAGUUGUCUGAUUAGAAAUGUCCUGAGCACAAGCACAUAGAUAAGAACACUUCUGAAGCCAGUCCACUAACUAGGUUAGUCGGAAGGAUCAGAACUUGUCACGUAACUGUGAGUCUUGGAAAAAAUGUUCUUUGCUUUGUGUUUAAUUAUUUUUAAGCUAAGUAUUAUGGAGGAAGGGGGGAAAAGAAAGCAACUUCCUGGGCUUCCCGCUUCACACCCAUCCAUUCUCAUUCAUACAAACAAAAAAAUAGCUCUAUAUAUUCCAUGAAUCUCUAUUUUCUGGAUGUAGCCCCAGAAAGCAAAGCUUUCACUUGUGCUAAGGAAUCUCUCUAGGGAGAACAGUUGCUCAUCCCCUUCAGCACUUAGAUAACGAUUUUCCUGUUUCACAGCCAAAAGCUAAUUUUUUUUCCCCCUCUUUUCCUGUGAAUGUCAUGCUAUCCUGUAUUCGGAGAGGAUGGGGGGGGGGAGGGGCAGAGAUGGUAAUUGGCUUACCCACAGAAAUGCAUGCACUAUUAGUUGUUACUAUGUGGAAAAACAGUCUCUACCUGGUUGCUGUGCUACCUUUUCACUGCUACCAGCCUGGCUGUGUCAUGUCCCAAUUCUAACGUCUGUAUUUUCUCAUGUUCACUCUCCUGUAAAUGGAAACAAGACAGAUCAUCUGCACGUUAACUCAUAUGCAUCUCCACUAAAGUGGUAACCAUCUCUGAGUUUGCUUCUUUACCUUAACCAUAUUCAGUUUUGCCUGUCACUGAAGAUAAGCUGUUUUUAACCUACUUUGCACAAGAUUCACGAUACCUGACAAGCUGUGUGUUUACAAGCACAGUUCUUGCAGCUGUAGCCACAAGCAUUUGGUGUGUUUCGCUCAGAAUUACUAAAUAUGCCUCAGUCUUGCAGGAAAAGAUAUGGGAGUUCUUCAGACUAGCUUCUCCUGUAGCUUAUGUAGCUUCCGGUAGCCAGAACAUCAGAAAGGUGCCCAUCUUCAGCUGAAUCUGUCCACGCCACGCUGCUGCUGGAUGACAGAGACAGCAUCAGCCUAUUUCCCCGGCUGCUGGGAGGCUGCUGCUGUAGGCGUUCGCGUGCCUGGACCCCGCGCUGCUUGUUGUUCUGGCACGAGCUGACGCCUCGCUCUCACCGCGGCUGCGAAAGUCCGGGAUGAAAGUCCAGGACCGGAGCCUGGGAUGCGGCCGCAGCCGCGCCUCGGAAGGGGCGGUUCCCGCCUGUCGCGCGCAGACUGUUGAGGCGGAGGGGCGCGAGGCGCGGCUCGUCGUAACGCGGACGGCGCUCCGUUCUGCUGCUCGCAUAGCUCUCGAAGCCCAGCGUGUUUCACAGCAAAGCGAUCACAGUGCAAGAUGAUGAACUUUGAUAAUGAUCCAUCAAUUCAUCCUUUGCUCCAAGUGAGAGUCAACAGGAAGAGAAAGGAGAUGGCAAGUACUGUAAAAUAGGUGUUGUGUUGUCCAUGCCAAGUGAGGGUAUCGCUGAAGAGACGGAUGUGUCUGUGAAUGACCAAGUCACAACUGGCCUUCAAACGAUCAUUCCAUCUGAGACUUUAAUCUAAAGGGAUUUAUUGCAGUGGUACAUCAGAGCAGUACUCCUAAAUCAGGAAAUUUGUGCGAGACUCUUCAAUGGCACUGAUCAUUUGCACUCGAAAUAUGUGCAAAUGGUGCUGUAAGCACCGGUAUGUGCAUAAUACAUGGAAAGUGUAAAAGCUUCAGAUAGAUGGAAGUAUGUUAACGACUUUCAUCGUUUGACCUACUUUGGAAUGCAGUCGAGUACGCAGGUAUCUGGAGCAGUUGUCUCCCAUCGUACAGAGGAGCUGAAAAGCAAAUUCCUUCCUACUACUGAAGCCCCAGACAACAAUGCUGUGCCUUCCAUAGGGAAAGGAUUUCAAGCCCGCGGCUUUGAGAUUACACUGCAGGCUAUAGAGAACGACCUUCGCGUUUUGACAUAAAUGAAUGUAGUUGCCACCUGGUUAUUCUAAAGAAACAGUUUGUGAAACAGCCUGUUUAGUUGCCCGUAGGUCGGUAGCCAUCUGAUAAAGAAAACAGCUGUAGCUU